ensembl:lncRNA
UUUUUUUUUUUUUUUAAAUUUUUUGGGAUAGGGUCUUGCUUUGUCACCCAGGCUGGAGUGCAGUGUCACGAACAUGGCUUACUCCAGCCUCUACCUCCCAGGCUCAAGCAAUCGUCUUGCUUCAGCCCUCCAACUAGCUGAGACUAUAGGCAUGUGCCAUCACGUCUGGCUAAUUUUUGUAUUUUUUGUAGAGUUGGUGUUUGCCAUGUUGCCCAGGCUGGUCUCAAACACCUGGGCUCAAGCCAUCCGCCUGCCUCAGCCUCCCAAACUGUUGGGAUCACAGGUGUGAGCCACCACGCCUGGCCUUUCUUCCUUUCAAAGAAGGGAAACAAAAUGUCUAUAGGUGUAGUGACCCUAUGCUCCUCAAAACGCUUAGCUUGACAGCAAGUCUAUUAUAGACCCUUGACAUUUGUGCAACUGACAUGCAGUCAUUCCCAAGCCACCCAGAAGGUCCCUGACCUAUAUAUUUGUUAUUUUGCCUAGGCACAAAUCUGAGUUACUCAGCCACUACUAAGUGAACCUAGUGGAUGCAGUGGAUGCAGACAUCCCAGGACAGCUGGCUGUUCUUUCCUGGUUAUGACAGACAUAGUAACUAAUAAAAUGAUUUAAAACAUUCUUUGUAAAUAAACGCUCUGUAUUCAUGACACUGGCCCUCUCAACUGUCUAAGGAAGGACUCUCCAUGAGUGAUGUGUUUUACAUUAAAAGUAUUUAUUUGCAAUCGGGACUCUAGCCUGUGUUGGCCAUUUCUAGAAGCUGUCGAACAUAUCUUUAAAUACCGCGCCCAGAAGUGGCUUCCUUUCAUGGCAGUCUCAGUUUCUGGUUCCUAGAAGUUGCUGAUUCCAACAGCACCCGAUGACCACAAGUCAUCUGAGGGGACCUGUGGCCAAGAAUGGAUGACAACCACAAUUUAUUCGGACACCAAAGCAAGUUGCAGCCUGAAUUGCAACCACACCUUGCAAUAGCCCCAACACAUGCAACAGAAACAGAAUUUGCACUUGGUAUGUUUAUUUCCAUUGCUCUUCAAAAUGCAAACCCACACUAAAGCCCAUGCCAAAGACAGUUGGAACAAAUUGCAUCACCUGGAUUUUGGGGUUUGUAAUAGCUAGCCUAUGUUGGUGUGCAAAUUGGCCAGUUGUAUGCUAUUUUAAACCCUUCCUGCUCCCUUUCCCAUUUUGUGCCAAGGGCACACAAAGCUGCCCAGAAGGAAGGAAUUCAAUCAGCAUCAGAAGAAUGCAUUGAAGUCCUGUUUCCUAAACCCCAGGGGAGAGCUGAGUGGGAGGGAAGGACCCAGCUAGCUGAGGACAGAGUCCUUUUUAUGUGUCUGUUUCCCCAAGCCGAAUGCUGGGCCCAGCUGACAAAUGUUAGUGGGAGGAAACAAUGGAGGAGGGAGGCUGGAUGGCAGUGAGAGGCCUGGGAAGGGCCUGGGGAUGAGGAGGGGGUGGAAGCACUUCCUGAGGAUCCAUCCAGGCCCAGAGUUUUCAGCUGCCACCUCCAGAGCUCCGCCUGCCUGCUUGGCCAGGUCCAGUUGGCCCUGGCAGAAAGUCAUCACCCUGUCCUUGCCAGCACUCCAUCCCUGGCUAUAAGUCUUAUCUGGUCAAGCUGCUCUCUGUAUUGGACUCUCCAGCCAAGUAUCUGGACUGCUGGGCUGAUAGUCACCUUUUUUUCUAUGAUGUUUCUCCCUGGUCAGUCUCAGAAUUAAUACAUUUUUCCUCUGCUAGUUCCCUCUCCUCUUCUGAAAUAGCAUGGAGGUUCUGUCCACUCUAAACUCACCCAGCGUUUGGGCUUGGCUGGGCCAGAUGCCCUGCAUGCUGAUACCUUCAUGUGGUCAGCCCACGCCCUGGGUUAUUUGCCAACCUGCCUCCCAGUUUUGCACAGUGCCAUACCUCAGGUGCCCUCUCAUGCCAGCUAGUCAGAAUAGAGUGUCCUCCUAUAGGACCCAGGGAUAGGUUAGGGGUUGAAGUCCCUCACAAGGCCUCUAGGGUGUCAAGGCACAGGGCAUCUCAUGGAAGCACUGGUGUGGGAUCAAGUCCACCCUAAAAAAAGUCCU